AUCAUUCAAUAUAUUGUCGAAAGUUCAAGAUGCAGUCAUCACAAAAUGUCAUAAAAUCAGGUACAUAAUUUUCAGGCAGUAUUCUCAAUAAACCUAUCAGAAUGACCAUCGAUGUACCCACUCGCCUACUGAUAUUUAUAAACUCCGUACAAAUGGUAUUUAUAUUAAUGUUGUUGCUACCAGUUGUUGACAUUGUACAACUAUCUAAAAUAUUGGACACAUACAAAGAAAUUGUCUUAUCAAACUCAAUAUUCUGGGUAUUCGCGGCUAUUUACGGAUCGUUUAUUACUUUCUACGGAUUAAUAGGACCUACGAGAACUAUAAAUCAUAUGAAUUAUGUAAAAUCUACUGCAAAACUACAUGAGCUCUCCGAUCUAAUGAGUGACUAUGAUUUAGUGGAUAUCACGUGUGGAAUAUCAAAUGAAAAUGAACCAGGAACUAUAUUAAUUGAUGAUAAUUAUUCGUUACUUGAAGAAUCGGAUGGUGAACGCCAUGAUAAUUUCAGGUGGCCGUCUGUUAUUCGAUUAAAUAUUAAGGAGCAACAUAAAAUACGGCAGUUUUUUAAGUUCACGCCCAAAAAACAUACAGAAUGUAGUCCCAGCAAAAAAUCUCUAGUUGGAAGAAUAUUAGAAAAAACUAAAAGUAAAAGAGAUUUGAGCUCUUUAUCAAAAACUGCACUCAAAGAAAAUAAUAACAAAAAAGCAGACAAAGCUGAUAAAGAUGAAAAAAGGAAUUUGAAAAGAGAAAAGAUAGACGCAAUUGGUAAUAAAGAUCUGAAACUCGAUAAAAAAGAUACAAAAGACGUUGACAAAUAUUUGAAAGAGGAUUAAAAAAGAUUAGAAAUUGGCUAAAAGAUAUACAGGAAAAUAAAAUCAUUUAAAAUUUAUAACUACAUUUGUAAUAAUAAAUCAAAAUCACUCAAAAUGUACAAUAUAUUCAGACUGAUAUUUAUUAUCAUAUUUAUGAUCGAAGUAGCCAUUUUAGUGGCAUUUUUGAAGCCGAUCAAAGAACCUUACUACAUCAGAGACUUGUGGUGUUAUUUUAAAAAUAUUGAUAUAUGCCCAUGCUCGAAUAUAGCACUGCUUUCGGUUAGUUUUAUCGUAAUGAAUACUUUGAUGGAUUUCUUAUACGAACAAAGUGACUAUGCAAGCAUUAUAAAUCAAGUUAAUGACAAGAAUCUAUACGCAAAAUUUUAUUAUAGCAAAGUAAUGAUGUCGUAUGUUGGAGGGAUAUUAGCUAUAUAUAUGUUGGUUGUAGUGGAGAGGUUGGGCCAAUUUAUGAUAACAAUAGCAAGAUUACUAGAAUUUGAGUUGAUGUGCAGACAUGCGAUUUUAACAAGUAACUAGAAGUCGACAUGAGAUUUUUCUGAUAUUUUAAUCAAUCUA